rnacentral:rRNA from 1 species
CCUACGGGUGGCAGCAGUGAGGAAUCUUGGUCAAUGGGCGCGAGCCUGAACCAGCAAAGUAGCGUGAAGGAUGACUGCCCUACGGGUUGUAAACUUCUUUUAUAAAGGAAUACAGUGAGGCACGUGUGUCUUUUUGUCUGUACUUUAUGUAUAAGGAUAGGCUAACGCCGUGCCAGCAGACGCGGUAAUACGGAGGAUCCGAGGGUUAUCCGGGUUUUAUGGGUUUAAAGGGAGCGUAGAUGGUUUGUUAAGUUAGUUGUGAAAGCUUGCGGCUCAACCGUAAAAUUGCAAUUGAUACUGGAAGACUUGAGUACAGUUGAGGUAGGCGGAAUUCGAGGUGUAGCGGUGAAAUGCUUAGAUAUCACGAAGAACUCCGAUUGCGAAGGCAGCUUACUAAACUGCCACUGACAUUGAUGCUCGAAAGUGUGGGUAUCAAACAGGAUUAGAUACCCGAGUAGUC